rnacentral:rRNA from 1 species
UACAGAGGGUGCGAGCGUUAAUCGGAAUUACUGGGCGUAAAGCGCGCGUAGGCGGCUUUGCAAGUCGGGUGUGAAAUCCCCAGGCUUAACCUGGGAACUGCAUUCGAGACUGCAUUGCUAGAGUAUGGGAGAGGGAAGUGGAAUUUCCGGUGUAGCGGUGAAAUGCGUAGAUAUCUGGAGGAACACCGGUGGCGAAGGCGGCAUCCUGGACCGGUAUUGACGCUGAGGCGCGAAAAGCCAGGGGAGCAAACGGG